GUUUGAGAGUUGAAUUAACUUAAAAUAUAAUGCUUACAUCACUUUAUUUGUGUAGGCAUGGGCUAUUAAGUAUGCCAAUAGUCUACUUGGAAGGCACAGACCAUCAUUCAUCUAUUUCCAUCUCUUAUAUUGGAGCAAUGUCCUAUUCUCCUACAAGAUAAUCGAGAGGAUAGAGCCUAGGGAGGAGUUGCACUUUCUAUCACAAGGAAGGCCACAAGGGCUGGUAUUGAUAUGGGGUAGGUCUGUACAUAAUCUUAAUUUUUUAUAUUUUUUAUACUUUACCCUAGUUAGAUAACUCGCAUAUUAAUUUUCAUUUGACACAUACAUAUUAUGUGUCAGUACAUAGUAAUGAUAAUGAAUUUUUGUACACAUUAUGUAAUGAAUUUUUAAAUUUUGUAUACAGUUAAAGACAAUGAAUUUAACAAACACUUGUUCUAUUCA